AUUGAACGCUGGCGGCAUGCUUUACACAUGCAAGUCGAACGGCAGCGCGGGGGCAACCCUGGCGGCGAGUGGCGAACGGGUGAGUAAUGCAUCGGAACGUAUCCUGUAAUGGGGGAUAACGUAGCGAAAGUUACGCUAAUACCGCAUACGCUCGAGAGAGGAAAGUGGGGGAUCGCAAGACCUCACGUUAUAGGAGCGGCCGAUGUCCGAUUAGCUAGUUGGUGGGUAAAGGCCUACCAAGGCGACGAUCGGUAGCUGGUCUGAGAGGAUGAUCAGCCACACUGGGACUGAGACACGGCCCAGACUCCUACGGGAGGCAGCAGUGGGGAAUUUUGGACAAUGGGCGAAAGCCUGAUCCAGCCAUGCCGCGUGCGGGAAGAAGGCCUCGGUUGUAA
rnacentral:rRNA from 1 species